AUGGCUGUCGUCAGCUCGUGUCGUGAGAUGUUGGGUUAAGUCCCGCAACGAGCGCAACCCUUACUUUUAGUUGCCACCAUUUAGUUGGGAACUCUAAAAGAACUGCCAGUGAUAAGCUGGAGGAAGGUGGGGAUGACGUCAAGUCCUCAUGGCCCUUACGUGUUGGGCUACACACGUGCUACAAUGGUACUUACAAUGAGAUGCAAAGAGGCGACUCCAAGCCAAUCUCAAAAAGAUGCCUCAGUUCGGAUUGUACUCUGCAACUCGAGUACAUGAAGCUGGAAUUGCUAGUAAUCGCGGAUCAGCGCGCCGCGGUGAAUACGUUCCCGGGUCUUGUACACACCGCCCGUCACACCAUGGAAGUUGGUUACACCUGAAGGCAAAACGUAAAACUUUUGACUACGGUACGAUCAGCGACUGGGGUGAAGUCGUAACAAGGUAGCCGUAGGGGAACCUGCGGCUGGAUCACCUCCUUUCUAAGGAAAUCGAAAAAUAUGAAAACAAUUAUUUUCGAUUUAAAAAAAACCGGUAAUGUGACCGUCCUCAUUUCUCUUCUUUUAAUGUCUCUAAGUAAAUCGAGGGGCCGGUAGCUCAGGUGGUUAGAGCGCACCCCUGAUAAGGGUGAGGUCGGAAGUUCGAAUCUUCCUCGGCCCACCAAUAUUAUGGGGGAUUAGCUCAGCUGGGAGAGCGCCUGAUUUGCAUUCAGGAGGCCAGCGGUUCGAUCCCGCUAUCCUCCACCAAAUUUUAGACAUUUAGCUUUUUUAAAUUGUGAAUAUUAUUAUUAUCAAUAUCUAUAUCCGAUUGUUUUCAGAUAUUUUUUUGAAAACAAUCAAAACAAAAAUUUAAUUUAUUACAGAAAAAGUUUUUUUCUGUGCAUAAAUCAAGCGUUUAAGGGCGAUUGGCGGAUGCCUUGGCACUGUAAGACGAUGAAGGACGUGGUAUACUGCGAUAAGUUUCGGGGAGCUGUAUGCAGGCUUUGAUCCGAAAAUUUCCGAAUGGGGAAACCCGG
rnacentral:sRNA from 1 species